CAAUAAUGAAUUAACAACAAUAAUAAAAUUAUCAUUGUAGACAUUCAAUAAGGUCUACUACGUUACAAUAAAACCUACUCUUAAUUUUUAAUUUUAGUAGACUUCAAAAGAAGUCUACAAUGUCGGCAAUCUUUUAACCUAGUUACAUUUAUGUCUCCAUAUAUAAAUGAAAUUUACACAAUCUCUCUCUAAAAUGGCUGCACAAUUUUAUAAAACUCUCUCACUUCUCUCUAAAACUCUCUCCCUUCUCUCUAAACUCUCUCAUUUCUCUCUAAAAUCCUCUCAUGUUUUUCUCACAAAGUUAUGUUGUCAUUUUAGGUAUUAUGAUUCAUGGUUUUCAUCUUCUCCUUUAAAAAUGUAUUACCAUUGAUGGUUUUCAUCUCCUCCUCUAAAAUGUAUUUUCUUCCAUGGUUGUUAUCUCCUCCUCCAAAAGAUGUACUUUUUCCAAGAUUUUAUUUGAGGCAUCAAGAUUAUGAAAAAUCAAACACAGUCAAAUAAAUUCCUUUGUAAUAUUUUCUCAUAAUAAAAUAUUCAUUUUUAA